rnacentral:rRNA from 1 species
GGGUUAAAUUAAUAAAAAAAAAAAAAUAAUAAAAAAAAUUUUAAUAUUAAAAAAAAAGAAUUGGGGGGUUUGAGUAUUUUUAAUAGAAAAAAUUAAUAAAUUUAUAGCGAAUUAUUACUGUAAAGGAAAUUAUAAAUAUGUGAAAUUUAAUUAUUUAAAAAGUAAAUUUAAUUUAUUGUAUCUUGUGUAUCAGAGUUUAUUAAAUAAAAAUAAUUUAUUUAAAUAAAUCUCGAAUUUAAAAGAGUUAAUUAAUUAAAAAAGUUAAUGUUGAAUAAUUAUUUUAAAUAAUUAAUUAGAAAUGAAAUGUUAAUCGUUUUUAAAUAUAUCUAGUUUUUUUAGAAAUAAAUUUAAUUUAAAAUUAAGAUAAUUUUAUAAUUUUUUAAUUAAUUAUAAAAAUUUUAAAUUUAAUAUUUUAGGGGAUAAGCUUUAAAUUAAAAUUUUAUAAUAAAAUUUAAUUAAAUUAAAAUUUUUAAAAUUUAUAUUGUUUAGAAAUUAUAAUUUAUUAUAAAAAAUUUUAAUUAAAAUAAAAUUUAAAUAAAUAUUUAAAUUUUUAUAAAAAAAUAAUUUUUAAUAAAAAAAAAUUAGAAAUAAUGAUAAAAUUAGUAUAUUAUAAUUUUAAAAAUAACAUAUAAGAAAAGUUAAAUUAAAGGAAUUCGGCAAAAAUUUAUAUUCACUUGUUUAUCAAAAACAUGUCUUUUUGAUAAUAAUUUAAAGUCUAAUCUGCCCACUGAUAAUAAAUUAAAGGGCUGCAGUAUAUUGACUGUACAAAGGUAGCAUAAUCAUUAGUCUUUUAAUUGAAGACUUGUAUGAAAGAUUUGAUGAAAUAUAAACUGUCUCUAGUUUAAUAAUAAAAAUUAAUUUUUUAAUUAAAAAGUUAAAAUAAUAUUAAAAGACGAGAAGACCCUAUAGAGUUUUAUAGUUUAUUUAUUUAAUAUUAAUUAUAUAAUUAUAAAUAUUAAAUAAAUAAAUUAUUAUAUUGGGGUGAUAGAAAAAUUUAAUAAACUUUUUUUAUUAAUAAACAUAAAUAAGUGUAUAAAUGAUCCAUUAAUAAUGAUUAUAAGAAAAAAUUACCUUAGGGAUAACAGCGUAAUAUUUUUUUUUAGUACAAAUAAGAAAAAAAGUUUGCGACCUCGAUGUUGGAUUAAGAUAAAAUUUAAAUGCAAAAGUUUAAAAUUUUGAUCUGUUCGAUCAUUAAAAUCUUACAUGAUCUGAGUUCAAACCGGUGUAAGCCAGGUUGGUUUCUAUCUUUAAUAAAAAUAAAUAUUUUAGUACGAAAGGAUCAAAUAUUUAAAAUAAUUUUAUAAUAAUGAAUAUUAAUAAUUA